AAGAUUUUUAUUGGCUGCCACAAAAUAAUGAUAAAAUCAGAAAGAAUUUUGAGAAGCGUGGGUCGACCUGCAUGCAAAACAUAUUUACAGACAUUAGAAAGUCAGGCGAGCGACCACUCUGGAUUGGUGAGAGUGUAUGGGCUGAGUUGUGCCGUGCUUGGGUUAGCCCAGAGUAUAGCAGGAGGGACCAAAAUAGACAGAACAAAGUUUAUGAUGUUUGGGGCAUGGCUGAUUCUCUUCAUACUGGGGGUUCUGUACUUCUGUUCCACAUACUGAACACAGACGACGUUUUAAAGAGGUGCUGGGUAGAGAAUCGACCCAUGUUGAAUUGCAUUGUCAUACCCACAAGCGGUAGGACCAGCAAUAGGUUGAUGAGCGAUUGAGGAGAGUUUAUGAGGAGUAUACACAACUUCGAGAGAUCCAGACUGCAGCAGGUGAAAGUUCUUCUGGUGGAUCAACAGAAUAUUCUGACUACCGCACUUGGUAGCAAGCGGUAGGAAUGCAACACGACAGAGUAUACAGUUUAGGCUCGCAAGCUUAUGCAUACGAGGGGCAGACAUCUGGUGGCUCCAGCUUCUCAGCAAACACCCAUGAGUCUUUAUAUAUAGCCAACAGAUAACUACCCUUAUAGCUGAGCUAGAGCAGGUCAGGAAAGCACAAGUUGACUGGCAGAUGCAGUUGCAACAACAAAUGGAGAUGCAUCAGCAGAUGCGGCUGCAACAAACUCAAUUGUUAGAGGAAAUGCGAAAGAUGAGGUAGUAGUUCAGUGGGAAGAGUACAACUUCAGCAGAGGAGGAGACUGAUUCAAAGUAGAUGUUGUUUAUUUUAUUCUGGACAUCUAUAAUUAUGUGUUUUUGGACAUAUUAACUUAUUUAUUUUUUGGAAAUCUACAUUUGUUUAUUAUUGAAUAUUUGUUGAUGAUAUUCUUCUUAUUAUUGUUAUUGUUUAUAUGUUUAUGUUUAAUAUUUGAUGAUGUUCUUGAUUAGAGGUGAAUAUUUGAAUGCAUAUAAUAUUGGAUCUUUUUGUAUGUGGGUUAUAUUGUAGAAAUCAGUUUCAUAAGUUAGAAGAUUAUUUUUUUAUGCUAUAUGUUUCUGGCAGAUUUUCCCCCGGAAACACCGCCGGCAACACGAUACAACGAAAAUGAAGUGGACUUUCUGACGUACGUUUACACAGGAAUUUCCGGUGAAAACUCCGACGGUACUGUCAGUCGAUAAUAAUGCGGCAGACUAAGACGACAGAUUAUCCGCCGAUAUUUUCGGCGCACAUUCUUCGCCGGAAAUAUCAGUGGAUUAAACAACAGAAUCCGUUAAAGGAAGACGAUGUUUUGUCAUCAUUUUUUUCCGCCGAAAUCCGUUGAAGGAAGACUACGUUUUGUCAUCAUUUUUUUCCUCCAAAAAACGUCGCCGAAAAGUUUCCUGCAGAAAAUUUUUGUCAGUUUACAUUUUCCGACGCACUAAU